UGGGGAAUAUUGGGCAAUGGGCGAAAGCCUGAUCUAGCAACACCGCGUGUGCGAAGAAGGCCUUCGGGUCGUAAAGCACUUUUUGGAAGGAAUAGGAAGGAAUGUACUUCCAGAAUAAGUCUCGGCUAACUACGUGCCAGCAGCCGCGGUAACACGUAGGAGGCGAACGUUAUCCGGAUUUACUGGGCGUAAAGCGCGUGUAGGUGGUUCUGUAAGUAGGGCGUGAAAGCUCCUGGCUCAACUGGGAGAGGCCGUUCUAAACUGCAGAGCUAGAGGAUGGUAGAGGGAGGUGGAAUUCCGGGUGUAGCGGUGGAAUGCGCAGAUAUCCGGAGGAACACCAGUGGCGAAAGCGGCCUCCUGGACCAUUCCUGACACUCAGACGCGAAAGCUAGGGUAGCAAACG
rnacentral:rRNA from 1 species